UACAGAGGUCCCGAGCGUUGUUCGGAUUCAUUGGGCGUAAAGGGUGCGUAGGCGGCGGGGCAAGUCUGAUGUGAAAUCCCGGGGCUCAACCCCGGAACUGCAUUGGAUACUGCCUUGCUCGAGUACUGGAGAGGGAACUGGAAUUUACGGUGUAGCAGUGAAAUGCGUAGAGAUCGUAAGGAAGGCCGGUGGCGAAGGCGAGUUCCUGGACAGUUACUGACGCUGAGGCACGAAGGCCAGGGGAGCAAACAGG
rnacentral:rRNA from 1 species